CAACAACGAACACCUUCCUAUUGCAAGGUGAGGCUCUGCUCUUCCCCUAGAAUCCACACCGGGUCGGAGGAGCAACUAGUCAAACUUCUUGAGCAUCUGAGAUAUUGAACAACGAACAUUUAAAACAAUUCCUUGCCUCACCCAGAGAUGAGAGGGAAGGUCGAUUUGACUCGAAUCCUGGACCUGAUCUUGAAUCCUACACCGGUUAAUGAUGCGAUGGGGGAAGUUUUUCUUUUUUCAUCAAUGCUGGCCCAGUCGAGGCUCGUCCAUGCCCAAUCCCGAUGGGCCUUCGAUUUGCCCCUACCCUAGCUCUAUAAUCCACCCGUCUUCCCCAGUCCCUGAAAGCCCUCCGGGGGCCUAGCCCUCUUU
rnacentral:lncRNA from 1 species